GGGCUCGCUUCGGCAGCACACGCACUAAAAUUGGAACGAUACAAAGAAGAUGAGCAUGGCCCCUGUGCAAGGAUAACACAAAAAUUUAUGAGGUGUUCCAUUAAAAA